ensembl:lncRNA
CACUUUUGUUCCUCAGAAUUAUAUUUAAUAAGCUAUUAUUGUUAUCCUCAUACAUUUCAUAUUAUAUAACAAAACAGAAAAGUACACCAAAAAUACACCCUAGUUACAGUACGUAUGUAUAGCAUGCAUCACAAUGCGUCAGAGGAAUGUUUACCGUGAAUCCCUGACACUUUUACGUUACACAAUAUUUACAUUGUUGUGUUGAGCUAACAACGUGCCUCACUGUGGUAGGGCUGGAAGGAAACUGCAGAAAACACACAGUACAUGUUUACAGUAUUAGCAUUGAGGAAGGAAACUGUAGAAAACAGACAGACAUGUUUACAGUAUUAGCAUUGAGGAAGGAAACUGCAGAAAACACACAGACAUGUUUACAGUAUUAGCAUUGAGGAAGGAAACUGCAGAAAACACACAGACAUGUUUACAGUAUUAGGUGUGGGUGCGUUCCUGGAGAGGUUUUUUUAACAUCUCAGGCAGCUCAUAAAUAUUACAUAUUGAAAUCUUCUGAGAUGUGCAGCAUGACUGCAAAACAGACCACCUGGAACACACCCAGUGUGUGUGAAACAGCAGACCCAGACCUUUCAGGAGAAGUCCUGGUGAACUACACAGUAUGCAGAGGAAUGCAGAGGAACGAGGAACUAGGGACACAUAGUGACUGUCUGUAGAGGAGGAGGGACUAGGGACACACAGUGAAUGUCUGUAGAGGAGGAGGGACUAGGGACACACAGUGACUGUCUGUAGUGGAACGAGGGACUAGGGACACACAGUGACUGUCUGUAGAGGAACGAGGGACUAGGAACCCACAGUGACUGUCUGUAGAGGAGGAGGGACUAGGGACACACAGUGACUGUCUGUAGAACCAGAAAUAGACAGCAUUUGUAGAACCAGACACCAUAUAUUUAGCCUGGGUCUAAGUAUGGCUCUGUGUCAGACCUUUAAAACACAUGCAUGGUCUGUCACAUCUGUAACAGUAUAGCUAGUUAUUCCCACAGAUGAGAAGUGGAGCCAUUCAGACAGUACUGUCUGGGACACAGUGAAUUAGAUGAGAAGUGGAUCCCAUUCUGAAAGUACUGUCUGGGACACCAUGAAUUAGAUGAGGAAGUGGAUCCAUUCUGAAAGUACUGUCUGGGACACAGUGAAUUAGAUGAGGAAGUGGAUCCAUUCUGAAAGUACUGUCUGGGACACAGUGAAUUAGAUGAGGAAGUGGAUCCAUUCUGAAAGUACUGUCUGGGACACAGUGAAUUAGAUGAGGAAGUAGAUCCCAUUCUGAAAGUACUGUCUAGGACACAGUGAAUUAGAUUAUGAAGUGGAUCCCCCAUUCUGAAAGUACUGUCUGGGACACAGUGAAUUAGAUGAGGAAGUGGAUCCAUUCUGAAAGUACUGUCUGGGACACAGUGAAUUAGAUGAGGAAGUGGAUCCCAUUCUGAAAGUACUGUCUGGGACACAGUGAAUUAGAUGAGGAAGUGGAUCCCCCAUUACGAAAGUACUGUCUGGGACACAGUGAAUUAGAUGAGAAGUGGAUCCCAUUCUGAAAGUACUGUCUGGGACACAGUGAAUUAGAUGAGGAAGUGGAUCCCAUUCUGAAAGUACUGUCUGGGACACAGUGAAUUAGAUGAGGAAGUGGAUCCCAUUCUGAAAGUACUGUCUGGGACACAGUGAAUUAGAUGAGGAAGUGGAUCCCAUUCUGAAAGUACUGUCUGGGACACAGUGAAUUAGAUGAGGAAGUAGAUCCCAUUCUGAAAGUACUGUCUGGGAAUUAGUGAAUUAACUCGGUGGACUCAUCAUUUCAUAAUGAUUGGCAGUGCUGUUUAUAGGCAGAUGGGCAGGAAGCAUCCGUUGAUAUUAGUGGCGUAGUUACUUACCCCUCUGCAUUAAAAACCCCGCAGAGAGAUUCUAGUGCAAAACCUCAGUCCUCACUAUCUAGGCUAUAAAAAGGCAAUAAACAACAUGAGCAUUCCUAGGCUUCGUUCCUAACGGUACCCUAUUCCCUAUGUAGUGCACUGCUUUUGAGCUGAGCUGUAUGCACCCUGGUCUAAAGUAGUGCACUACUACCCUAUAGACCCUGGUCUAAAGUAGUGCACUACUACCCUAUAGACCCUGGUCUAAAGUAGUGCACUACUACCCUAUAGACCCUGGUCUAAAGUAGUGCACUACGUAGGGAAUAUGAUGCCAUUUGAGGGGCUCCUCUAGUCUGGAAUCCCAAACACUGUUUGCAUAGACUAAAAUUAGUUCCAGAGAGUUUUCAAUAGUUUUCAAUCUCCUCUCUCUCUUUUCAGGAGAUUCAAUAGUUUUCAAUCUCCUCUCUCUCUUUUCAGGAGAUUCAAUAGUUUUCAAUCUCCUCUCUGUCUUUUCAGGAGAUUCAAUAGUUUUCAAUCUCCUCUCUCUCUUUUCAGGAGAUUCAAUAGUUUUCAAUCUCCUCUCUCUUUUCAGGAGAUUCAAUAGUUUUCAAUCUCCUCUCUGUCUUUUCAGGAGAUUCAAUAGUUUUCAAUCUCCUCUCUCUCUUUUCAGGAGAUUCAAUAGUUUUCAAUCUCCUCUCUGUCUUUUCAGGAGAUUCAAUAGUUUUCAAUCUCCUCUCUCUCUUUUCAGGAGAUUCAAUAGUUUUCAAUCUCCUCUCUCUCUUUCAGGAGAUUCAAUAGUUUUCAAUCUCCUCUCUGUCUUUUCAGGAGAUUCAAUAGUUUUCAAUCUCCUCUCUCUUUUCAGGAGAUUCACUAGUUGUGGACUUUGUACUUGUGCGUCAAUGUCAAAGUAUGUUUGACUCCAUGUACUUGGCGUCUGGUAUUAAAAAAAAGGCAGUUAACUUAACACCUUAAAUUGCCCCGUUGAAGCAAGUCGAUUGAAGCAAGUUGAGUGCUAGGUGCUGCUGGGUUCAGUUUGGAACCUUUCACCUGCUGAAUGCCUUAGGGCUUAACUGAAGCAUCCGUCUUCUAGGAAGAGAUAGAGAGAGACCAUGGUGGUGUCAACGAUGGCACCCUAUUCCCUACGUAGUGCACACAAGUAGUGCACCAUCAAGGGAAUAGGGUGCCAUUUGGGAUGCAUUGGGGUAACCCGUUAACACCAAACUCUAGAGGUUACUACAGGUCAGACCGUAUCUCAUUAACACCAAACUCUAGAAGUUACUACAGGUCAGACCGUAUCUCAUCAACACCAAACUCUAGAAGUUACUACAGGUCAGACCGUAUCUCAUUAACACCAAACUCUAGAGGUUACUACAGGUCAGACCGUAUCUCAUCAACACCAAACUCUAGAAGUUACUACAGGUCAGACCGUAUCUCAUCACCACCAAACUCUAGAGGUUACUACAGGUCAGACCGUAUCUCAUCAACACCAAACUCUAGAGGUUACUACAGGUCAGACCGUAUCUCAUCAACACCAAACUCUAGAGGUUACUACAGGUCAGACUGUAUCUCAGGUCAGACCGUAUCUCAUCAACACCAAACUCUAGAGGUUACUACAGGUCAGACCGUAUCUCAGGUCAGACCGUAUCUCAUCAACACCAAACUCUAGAAGUUACUACAGGUCAGACCGUAUCUCAUUAACACCAAACUCUAGAGGUUACUACAGGUCAGACCGUAUCUCAUUAACACCAAACUCUAGAAGUCCCUACAGGGAAAACAGGAAGUCAUAGGAAGUAGUGGGAAGUGCAGCCAAAGGAAAACCACUGCAAAUACUACUGUACCUCAGGGAGUAGUACACCGUUUAAACUUAAUAUCACCACAAAAUCAAUAGGCCGCAUCAAAGAAACAAAACAUUAAAAACAUUCAAAUUAAUCCCACUUGUAAGGCACAAUAAAAUGGACAAAGUUUAGACUCAUUUCAAAAACAAAUACUACUAAAAAAAAGAAAACAAAUAUCUCAGAAAACAAAAGUUCCUUGAGUACGGUGUCUUGGCAUUGGUUGUCUAGUGAAGAGAAGGGGAGGGGUAUCGACCAAUACAACUUUUACUGAUCCUGAUGCCUCCCACUAAACACAAUCCUGAUGCCCCUCCCACUAAACACAGCCUGAGGCAGCCUCUCAGAAGUACCAGGAUGGAAGAGCCUGAGGCAGCCUCUCAGAAGUACCAGGAUGGAAGAGCCUGAGGCAGCCUCUCAGAAGUACCAGGAUGGAAACUCUCUCUUUACUGUUAAGGAGAGAGCCUUGUGUGGCCCAACUAGUACUCUAUUCCCUAUGUAGUGCACUACUUUACACCAGGGCCCAAGGUGCUUUGGUCAAAAGUAGAGCACUAUAAAGGGAAUAGGGUGCCAUUUGGGAUGCAUUCAGGGAGGAGAAGGCAACGAACAGAAAGAGGUUUAAAAAGUCCCUGGUAGGCGGGCGGAUCAGGCCGUUCUGGCAUCUCAGCCCCUGUUAGAUGGACAGAGGGAGAGAGGUGUUCAGUCGUUGUGUUUAUCCGAGGCUGUGAGGGGGGGGCUCAUUCAGUAGUUGUGUUUAUCCGAGGCUGUGAGGGGGGCUCAUUCAGUAGUUG